rfam:Planomicrobium sp. ES2 genome assembly, contig: CONTIG000001
AUCUGAAAAAGGCAAACUUAUCCGAAAGGGAAGGACGCAAAGCCAUGAGCCUAACCACUGGAAUUCCAGUGAACGGUUGUCAGGCUGCCAGG